CUGAAUGUUGGGCACCUCAAGUUGACAUUUUGCAGUGUGGGCCCCACUGAGUGUGCUGCCCUGGCCUUUGUGCUGCAGCACCUCCGGCGGCCCGUGGCCCUGCAGCUGGACUACAACUCUGUGGGUGACAUUGGCGUGGAGCAGCUGCUGCCUUGCCUUGGUGUCUGCAAGGCUCUGUAGUGAGUGUUACUGGGCAUUGCUGUUCAGUUCUGGGGCAACAGAGUGGGUGACGAGGGGGCCCAGGCCCUGGCUGAAGCCUUGGGUGAUCACCAGAGCUUGAGGUGGCUCAGCUGGUGGGGAACAACAUUGGCAGUGUGGGUGCCCAAGCCUUGGCACUGAUGCUGGCAAAGAACGUCAUGCUAG
rnacentral:lncRNA from 1 species